rnacentral:rRNA from 1 species
GACGUAGGGCGCGAGCGUUGUCCGGAUUUAUUGGGCGUAAAGAGCUCGUAGGCGGCUUGUCGCGUCGACUGUGAAAUCCCGAGGCUCAACUUCGGGCUUGCAGUCGAUACGGGCAGGCUAGAGUUCGGUAGGGGAGACUGGAAUUCCUGGUGUAGCGGUGAAAUGCGCAGAUAUCAGGAGGAACACCGAUGGCGAAGGCAGGUCUCUGGGCCGAUACUGACGCUGAGGAGCGAAGGCGUGGGGAGCGAACAGG